GUCCACGCUGUAAACGAUGAGAACUAGAUGUUGGGAGGGUUUGCCUCUCAGUGUCGCAGCUAACGCGCUAAGUUCUCCGCCUGGGGGAGUACGGCCGCAAGGUUGAAACUACAAAGGAAAUUGACGGGGACCCCGGCACAAGCGGUGGAGCAUGUGGUUUAAUUCGAUGCAACGCGAAGAACCUUACCUGGUCUUGACAUCCCAGGAACCUCGCAGAGAUGUGGGGGUGCCUUCGGGAACCUGGAGACAGGUGCUGCAUGGCUGUCGU
rnacentral:rRNA from 1 species